rnacentral:rRNA from 1 species
UACGUAGGCAGCAAGCGUUGUUCGGAGUUACUGGGCGUAAAGGGUGUGUAGGCGGUUCUUUUAAGUUUGGUGUGAAAUCUCCCGGCUCAACCGGGAGGGUGCGCCGAAUACUGAGGGACUAGAGUGCGGGAGAGGAAAGUGGAAUUCCUGGUGUAGCGGUGAAAUGCGUAGAUAUCAGGAGGAACACCGGUGGUGUAGACGGCUUUCUGGACCGUAACUGACGCUGAAACACGAAAGCGUGGGUAGCAAACAGG